AUUGAACGCUGGCGGCAGGCCUAACACAUGCAAGUCGAACGGUAACAGGAAGAAGCUUGCUUCUUUGCUGACGAGUGGCGGACGGGUGAGUAAUGUCUGGGAAACUGCCUGAUGGAGGGGGAUAACUACUGGAAACGGUAGCUAAUACCGCAUAACGCCGCAAGACCAAAAAGGGGGACCUUCGGGCCUCUUGCCAUCGGAUGUGCCCAGAUGGGAUUAGCUAGUAGGUGGGGUAACGGCUCACCUAGGCGACGAUCCCUAGCUGGUCUGAGAGGAUGACCAGCCACACUGGAACUGAGACACGGUCCAGACUCCUACGGGAGGCAGCAGUGGGGAAUAUUGCACAAUGGGCGCAAGCCUGAUGCAGCCAUGCCGCGUGUAUGAAGAAGGCCUUCGGGUUGUAAAGUACUUUCAGCGGGGAGGAAGGGAGUAAAGUUAAUACCUUUGCUCAUUGACGUUACCCGCAGAAGAAGCACCGGCUAACUCCGUG
rnacentral:rRNA from 1 species